CUGGGGGAAAUAGAGUAAAAUUGGAAUUCUAUCAGAAAAAGAGUUAGAGAGAACAGUAAUUGAGUAGAAAACCAACAGCUACAGCGAAGAAAGAAUGGCUUAAUCAAAAAAUAGUACUGCAACAACUGGUUGCUUAAAUAAAAAGUUUAGAUUUCAACUUUAUACCAAAUACAAAAGUAGACUCCUAAAGAAUUAAAUAUCUAUACAUACAAACAAUCAUAACAACAUAAGUACAACAGCAUUAGGAAAAAUAUAUAGGAGUAUGUUUAUAAUCUUUUGGUAGGGUUCACCAUCCAAAGCAAUUCACAAACCCAAAUAUGAUGAAGGAAAAAAACCCAACAAAUUUGACUACAUGAAUAUCAAAAAAUUUUUAUAAGGCUAAAAACAAAGUAAAAACAAAUAGUAAACUGGGGGAAAAAAUUUGUAAAUUUCACAACAAAGGAUUGAUAUUUUAGUAACAAUUAUAAGAAAAAAUAAACACUAUUAAAAAAAUCGACAUAUAUCAUGUACAGACCAUUCACAAAAAUAAAAGAGAAAUGCAAUGGGCCAACAAACACCAGAAAAUUGUUCAAUCAAUCUCACUAAUAAUUAAAUAGAUACAAGUUAUACACAUAAAACACAUAUCAGAUUCGCAAAGAUUAAAAUAAUUAGGAACACUUGAGUAUUGGUGAGGGAAAUAUAUACUCUCAUAGACUGAUAUGGAAAUUAAAUAGGUAUAACCUUUCAGAAGAGUACUUUGGUUAACACCUAUCAAAAUUUUUAGAGUAACUCCACUUCUAGAACCAUAGGAAAAUACUUAAGACAAGGGCACAAGGAUUACAUGGAUAACAAUAUUCAGAAUUGGAAAUAAGUUAAAUGACCACCAAUAGCUGGGUAACUGUGGUAGCCAGACCCCGAGAUGACCCCUGGUAAUUCAGGCUCUUGUGAAGUACCCUUCCACAAUGGAUUAGGGCUGGCUUUGUGCAACCAACAGAAUAUGUCACAAGUGACGAUGUGUGACUUCUACAGAUAAGUCACAAAAGGCAUUGCAGCUUUUGCCUAAGUCUACUAGAUCACUUUCUGGGACAAGCCAGCUACCAUGACAUGAAGACACUCAAGAAGCCCCUUGGAGAGGUCCAUGGGGAGAGAAACCUAGGUCCCCAGCCAAAAAGUAGCACCAAUCCGCCAUCCAUCUGAAUGAACCACUUUAGAAGUGGAUCCUCUCAUCCCAAUCAGUCUAGGUGACAUAUGACACUAAUGGCAUGAGAGACUCCAAGAGAGAAAUGUCCAGUGAAGCUCCUUCCAAAUUCCUGAACAGAAACCAUGAAAGAGCCCUGGAAAAUAAAUGAAAGAAGAAACAACUACUUGAUAGCUGAUUCAAGAAAGUUAUCCUCUGCUCCCCACUCUCACAACCUUCUCCUCCUUCAUUAACCAUAGCUGCGGCUUGAUGAAAUUCUAUAGAAUCUCAAUAUCAGAACUUUCAACACGUGAAGCAGAAGAUUCUGGAAUUUUAACCAUUCUUUCACUUAAGAAGGAACACAACCAGUUAACAGCAAUGAUGACCUACUUGUAGAGAAAGGAAAUCUAAUAUGAUCCUAAAGAAACUUCAAAAGUUCCAAAUGUGUUAAAAGUAAAGAUAUCACAAAAGCAGCUUAAAAAAGACAGAAUCCGACUCAAAGAGCUCAGUAUAGAAGCAAGGUCUUUCGCCCUAGUGAAGAAGGCGACCGCCUAAGAAGAGGAAAAUAUUUUCCAGAAGCUAUCAGAUCUCUCAUUGGCCGUGGCUGGAUCACAUGCCUAUGCACUAGAUGAAAGGGAAGUUGGGAAUGGAGUAUCAGGCACUUUCUGUUUUAACGGUGGAAAGUGGUCUCUGUUGGCAAGGAAGAAAGAUGGAAGAAUGUUGCAUAGACUUUGGGGAUAAGCGAACACUAAGCACACAACAAAAACGGUUGCAGAAACUCUAGCACACAGUUGAAGAACUUCUCGUGCCUUGUAGGAGGUUCAGCUUUUUCCUAGUCCUUGAUAUUCCAGGAAGAAGGCAUGAGUGGGAGCAAAGGAAGAAGGGGAAAUUCUGGAGUGCAUACCAAAGAUCUCUUCCCUGAAGAGCCCUGAGCGGGCACUGAAAGGUCUUUCUUAUUUUGGAGAGAUCAAAGAUCAUGAAGAUUACUCCUGAGGACUUUUUUCUCUUUUUUUUAACAGAAGCAGAUCUAAAGGACCAAGCUUUUUGCUCAGAACAAUUUUAUUUCCAAGUUAUUAAACUCAAUAACUUAGUCAUUGGAAACUACAAGAUGAUCAGGGUGAGGUUAGAAAGGCAAAGAAUAAU